rnacentral:rRNA from 1 species
CAACGAGCGCAACCCUUGUCUUUAGUUGCCAUCAUUAAGUUGGGCACUCUAGAGAGACUGCCAGGGAUAACCUGGAGGAAGGUGGGGAUGACGUCAAAUCAUCAUGCCCCUUAUGCUUAGGGCUACACACGUGCUACAAUGGGUAGUACAGAGGGUUGCCAAGCCGUAAGGUGGAGCUAAUCCCUUAAAGCUACUCUCAGUUCGGAUUGUAGGCUGAAACUCGCCUACAUGAAGCUGGAGUUACUAGUAAUCGCAGAUCAGAAUGCUGCGGUGAAUGCGUUCCCGGGUCUUGUACACACCGCCCGUCACACCACGGGAGUUGGAGACGCCCGAAGCCGAUUAUCUAACCUUUUGGAAGAAGUCGUCGAAGGUGGAAUCAAUAACUGGGGUGAAGUCGUAACAAGGUAGCCGUAUCGGAAGGUGCGGCUGGAUCACCUCCUUUCUAAGGA